AGCUCAUCAGGGUUAUCAACUGGGCAGUAUAUGAAGAGGCUGCGCCUGCAAUUUGUUGCCUGAGCGUUUGCCCUUGCGGUGCCUUACCUCUGGAUCCGACGGAGUUGACCAGAGAUUUAAAGAAUCGGUCUGAACCGAGUCCCGAAUUGAACCUUCAGGCUGACUCUUCUGUGAGCCACCAGCGAAGCGAAUCCUGUCCGCCCUCCCAGCACCUUCUGUCGGCCCCGUCUCAACGAACAUGGCGGUCAAGGCGAGCCACUCUGUCUUACACCACUGGAUCUAUGACCAUUCCCCCCGGCGGGUUUCCCUGCGCUAACCUGUAAGCUGCACAAUCAGUUUUGGUGCGUUUUCUGAGGUCCUUUUGUAACUCUUCUCCCGCAGCCAGACGGUUCCAGUCUGGUUUCCUGUUCCCAGGAUCAUUUGUUUAAAUAAACAUUCACUAAUCUCA